rnacentral:rRNA from 1 species
AUUGAACGCUGGCGGCAUGCCUUACACAUGCAAGUCGAACGGUAACAGCACUUCGGUGGCUGACGAGUGGCGAACGGGUGAGUAAUACAUCGGAACGUGCCCGAGAUGGGGGAUAACGCAGCGAAAGCUGUGCUAAUACCGCAUACGAUCUACGGAUGAAAGCAGGGGACCGCAAGGCCUUGCGCUCAUGGAGCGGCCGAUGGCAGAUUAGGUAGUUGGUGGGAUAAAAGCUUACCAAGCCGACGAUCUGUAGCUGGUCUGAGAGGACGACCAGCCACACUGGGACUGAGACACGGCCCAGACUCCUACGGGAGGCAGCAGUGGGGAAUUUUGGACAAUGGGGGAAACCCUGAUCCAGCCAUGCCGCGUGCAGGAUGAAGGCCUUCGGGUUGUAAACUGCUUUUGUACGGAACGAAAAGGUCUUUUCUAAUAAAGAAGACUCAUGACGGUACCGUAAGAAUAAGCACCGGCUAACUACGUG